rnacentral:lncRNA from 1 species
AAUAUGACUUAGGAAGUUUGUUCCAAAUCAUAUUCAAGGGAAUCAUAUAGAGAAGUAUCACAUUGGAUAGUAGACAUGAAACAAACUAUCACUUCAAACAAUGUGAUUAAGAGUAUUGUAUUAGAGAAGGACCGUAUUGCAUUGUAGUUGUAACUGGAUAGGUUCUCCAACCAAUUCUACUUAGCUUGGGUAACCAUGAUAUGCUGCUAGGUGUCACUCAUGGUUUGUGGAAGCCCUGAAGAUUAGCAAACACUAAUCAAAGGGAGAAUUGAAAUGUGGUUUCAAUUCACAAUCGAUCGUUAAGAGUAACAAUCGCCCACUGCCUCGCUAAUUGGAACCUAAUGGAUCGUACACCGAGUAAGGAUGAUAGUGAAGAAAAUUAAAUGAAAUGGAUAAGCAAUUAAAUGGUUUAAUUGAAGAAUGGUCAAGAUUAAUUAAUUAGUUAAUUAAUUUUACGAAAGGUUCGUAUUGGGCUUAUAAGUUGGUUUUGGGUUUCGGGGCCCAAAAGCGUUUUGGUCCACAAGGCCCAUUAUGUUUAAGUUGUAUGACAACUAAAACAAAAUGGGCAAAUUAGCCCAAUAACAAAGGUAAGGCCGGCCAUUAGGGUGAUGGGCAAACUUGGAUUAAUUACAAGUUUGCCACUCACUUGAAAUGAAGUAUAAAAUCAACUUUAUAGCUUUAUUUCUCAUUAGGGUUUUUCUUGGUGAAAUUGAGGUGAAACAUUUUCUCUCAUUUUCUCUAAAGAGGCCGGCCACUUAGAGGGGAAUUAGCUAGCAAUCUUUUCUCUUCUCUAAGUCAUCCAUUUCAUCUUCACAAUAUACAUCCUUGGUGUGGAGACUUAGAGACAUCAAGCUUUUGGUGUUUUUGGAGAACAAAUCCUUCAAAUCCUCAAAAUCAAAGGAGCACUAAAAGGAGGAAAAUCACAAGGAAGGAUUCCAAGGAGCUUGGAGGUGACUUGAAGGCCCUCCACUUGGGUGAAUCCCUUGUGUAAACAAGGAUGAGCUUCAAGGGUAAAGAAACUCUAAAUCUUUACUUCUCUUUAAUGUUGUUAAAGAGUUUUUUUGGUUCACCAUAUACUAGGCUUUGAAAGUCAUGGGUUUUUAUGAAUUGUUUUUUGGAAUGCAUGCCUACUUUAAAGUGUUAAUAGUUUGCAUAUGUAUUCAAAUGUUCUUACUUGUUCUUAGCUAGGACAAAAUUUUUCCUUCAAGUGGUAUCAGAGCCUAGGCCUAGUUUAUGGUGAAUCCUUUUGGGUUUUGUGAUUUUCAUGAUUUGUGAUUUAAAUGUUGUAAAUGUUACAAGCUUUGUUCUUGCUUUUGAAUAUAUAAAUUUUGCUAGAAAAUUUAGCAUCUCAAAUGUUGUAGAUGUAUUUCAUUUAAGCAUGAAUAUUGGAACUAAAAUUUGGUGCCAUGUAUUUUGGGAAAUUCGGCCAAAUCCUUAGGGUGAUUUUUUGGGUUCAUGUUUGUCUUGUUAAAAUGGUUUUAAGGUGACUUUUGGAACCCCUAAGUACCCUAGGAUAUUAGCCCUCUUUUGAGUGGUGAAAAAUUUGAGUUUUUGGUGAAGUGAAAACAUUCAUGGAGCUAUUAUGAGUUUUCAUGGUGUUCUUCAAUGUUCUUGAAGUUCUUGCCAAGAACAAAAAAGGUUUGAAGUUUUGAUUCAAAAGUUUUAUGUUUUUCAUAAAGUUUUGGUUUAAUUUUGAUGGGUGAUGGUUAUUGGUGAAGCAUUAAUUAAUGGCUUUAAUGUUUGACAAAUACUCUUUAAUGUUUUACAAAACAUUUUCUUACAAACCAUCAAUUUCACCUUUUACCUCACCAAUAAAAUCAACUUGCAUAAAACCCUUUCACACUCCUUUCACACUCUAAAACCGGCCACCCCCUAGUGGGGGUACUUUUGGGGCCUUUUAUGCAAUUACAUAAAGUUUUGAUACUUUUGUGUAUUUGCACUUUGGCCCAAAAGUUUACGUUUUUACGUUAAGGCCCAAAAACUCUAAAGGACGAAUUGUUUUGAUCCUUUAAUGAUGUUUUUACAUUAUUAAAAUUUUGGGUUCUAGUUGAAAUUACAUGAAGUUGUGGACUUUUGUGUUUUUUUUUCAAAGUGACCCCAAAAGUUUUUUGUAUUUGCAUUAUGGCCCAAUUGUUGUGGUCAUAGUUUCCUUUUGGCCCAAAUAAAAUGAGAACAAAAUUGUUUUGUCUCUUUAAUGAGAAUUGGAUUUUCAUUUCAUUUAGUUCCAUUUAAAUCAAUUCUAUGGAUCCAAAAACCAAUUGUUUAAGUUGCUUUCUUAGUUAAUGUGAUUAAUUAAGAAAAGGGUGAUUAUGAACCAAAGGCCUCGAUAAUUGAGCUAUGUGAUUGGCCGCUUUACAUUAUGAAUGUUUGGGUUUGGUAGUGUAGAUUUGAAUGUAAUUUGAUUAAUUCAAUUUGUUGUAAAUGGACAUAAGUCCAUCAUUUGUGUUGUAAAAGGGCAUAAGCCCUUCUUAUUAUUUCAUGUAUUCCUUUUUGUUUAUAUGUAUGCAAAAUGGAAUAGUUGGGUCCAACGCCCAAUAGGAAAUAACGGUUUAAUUGGAUUAAACGCGUAACUAAAAUCAACAACUAUCUACCUUAAACCCAAGGUCCAACACAAGGCUCGUGUUGGAUCAAAUCAAACGGUUCAUAAUCAUCCUAAAACCUAAUAUGACUAUAUAGUCCAUAUGAGGAUGCAAUGCAUUCGUUAGUAGUUCCAUAUAGUCUCGCUUGUUUCAACGAAACAGUGGGAGUAUUAUAUGCUACUAAUUCAUAUUAACUUGGACCAAUGGUUGUGAUAGGCCCAAGUUCUUUUAAUAAUGAUUAAAAUGAUUUUGAUGUAGCCCAAAACUACUCCCUCGACAAAACGAAUAUUAAGUUGAUAAGCGAGAGAUGUUUUGAACAUCUCUUCGUAGGCCUUCCACCGUGGUGGGCUCCAAUCGUUUGUGACUCAUGCACCGGCUUCACCCUAUCAUGGGGGAGUUCAAAGUAUGUGCUUACAUCCAGGAGGAGUCCAUAAACAUAUGAUGAGGUGAGUGUAGGCAACGAGGAUAGCCGACAUCGUAUCAUCGUGAGGCUAUUCUUGAACCCCUUCACAAACUAAGCAUGGUGGGAAUAACUUAAACUAAGUGCAAUGGAGCCGACAUCGUAUCAUCGUGAGGCAACAUUCUCUAGAGGCCAAACGGAUGGGUAAUUACAAAAGGUUGUAAAUGAAUAAUGCGUUAUUCUCUCAUCAUUAUUUUUGCUAACCAACAUCGUAUCAUCGUGAGGUGGGCUUGGUAAUGGUGAGUCUCCCAUACCCCGCUAAGAGUUCAAUAUAACUCUCGAAUUCUAUUGAGGGAUGUGGAAUUUGCCAAAAAUAGUGGGUGGUACUAUUUGAUUCAAAGACCCAAUCAAAUAGUUUUAAACAAACAAUCUAAUACGAUUUCUGUUAUGUUAUGUAGUUAACGACAUGCCUAAAAUUAUACCCACCAUUAUACUUGACAAAAAGGGCCUUAAGGGCCAACGUUUCCUUGCUUGGUAUCGCCACAUUGAGAAUGUCUCAAAGGUGAAAGACAUAUUGUAUGUGCUUAAGCAAUCCCCUCCUCAUGUACCUCCUACGAAACUAGCUUCAAAGGAGGAGUGUCAAAAAUAUGUUAGACACUAUGAGGAUGACUUACAAGCCAAAUGCUUAAUCCUCACUUCACUUAGUGAGGAGCUUAUGAAGCUACAUAAGCACAUGGACACUUCUUGUGCCAUGGUUGAAAGUUUGCAUAAGAUGCAUGACAUUGAGACUAGUAAUGUACGAUUCUCAAAUGUUUGUAGUCUAAUGAAUGCCAAAAUGGCAAAGGGGACAUCGGUCCAUAAACAUGGACAAAAGAUGGAAAAGAUAUUUUAAAGAUCUUAAAAGUUUAGGAACUUCCAUCGAUGGGAAAAUGGCCCAAGACUUUUUUCCUUGCAUCUCUCUCGGAUGAUUUCACUAAGUUUAUUGUAAACUAUAAAGUGAAUAGAUUCGAUCAUGCUUUGAAACGAGAUGAUUGACAUGUGCUGUAAAUUUGAAAAAGGUUUCAAAAGGGACAGUGGGAGUGAGAAUGCAAUCACAAGGAAAAGGUUGCAUAAGAAGAAGGCAAAGAAAUCCAAAGGAACAUGCUUUCAUUGUGGAAAGGAUGAACGUUGGAAGAAGAAAUACAGGGUGCGCAUUGCGAGCCUUAUGACACGAACUUUUGAAGAGACUAUUUCUGUCAUAGAGAGUGCUUUUACAGUGAGCUCCAAUUCCUGGAUAUUUGAUUCAGGCGCUAGUCAACAUAUCUGUAAUACGAUGCAGGGACUAGCGGGGAGCAAGUCACUGCGCAAUGGGGAGAUGGUUGUGCGAGUUGGGAACGGCACUAAAAUCUCUGCAAAAGCAAUAGGCACCUACAUGCUUAACCUACCCUCUGGGGAAGUCCUGGAACUUAAAAAUUGUUUAUAUUUUCCUUCAUGUAUAAAGAAUUUGAUUUCCAUCUCUAAGCUUUUACGAGAUGGGCACUCAGUAUUGUUUGACAAAAUGAGUUGCACUUUAUACUUGAACGGUCGUAUUAUCUCUCAUGGUAAUAUGAUAGAGGGACUUUUUCACCUAGAGACGAAUAGUGGGAUGCACUGUAUUGCAAGCGGGAAUACCUCAAAACCCAAAAGGGCUAGAGAAGAAGUUAACCAAGAAAAGAUGUGGCAUCUUAAACUUGGACAUGUGAACCUUGAUAAGAUUCACAAGAUGUCGAAAGACGGAUAUAUCCGCCCAUUAGGUAAUGACCAGAUGGGUACUUGUGAAUGUUGCUUGAAAGGGAAGAUGACCAAAUCUCCAUUUACUGGAAAAGGAGAGCGUGCCACUGAAAUUCUAGGGUUAAUCCACACUGACGUAUGUGGACCUAUGUCUACUAUGUCGAGAGGAGGCUUCUCCUACUAUAUAUCACAUUCACCGACGACGAUCACUCUCGGUUUGGCUAUGUGUAUCUUAUGAAGUACAAGUCAGAAUCCUUUGAAAGGUUCAAAGGAAUUCAAGAAUGAAGUUGAGAAGCAAACUGGGAAACAAAUAAAGAUCCUAAGAUUGGAUCGAGGGGGUGAAUAUCUGAGUAAUGAGUUCCUAGAUUAUCUCAAAGAGUGUGGAAUAAUAUCACAGUGGACUCCACCAGGAACUCCACAACUUAAUGGAGUUUCUGAAAGGAGAAAUCGAACCUUGAUGAACAUGGUUCGUUCUAUGAUGAGUUCCGCUGAUCUACCAGUAACAUUCUGGGGAUACGCUCUAUAUAUACAGCAGCUUACUUGCUUAAUAGAGUACCUUCCAAGUCAGUUUCACAAACGCCCUAUGAGAUAUGGCAUGGAAGAAAGCCAAGUCUUAAUCAUGUUAAGAUUUGGGGUUGUGAAGCAUAUGUCAAGAAGAAGCUUGAAGCUACUAAGCUUGAAGCGAGAUCAGUAAGAUGCUAUUUUGUGGGAUAUCCUAGAGAAACUAUGGGAUAUGAGUUCUACCAUCCUGACGACCAGAAAGUCUUUGUCGCCAGAACUGCUAAGUUUCUAGAGAACGAAUUUGUUCUCAAAGGAACUAUAAGCAAAGAGAUGGAAAUUAAUGAGAUUAAUAAUGAACCACAAACAAGCACUCGACAAGUUGACAACCCUGUUCCUGAACCCCUAGCUCCACGUAGAUCUGAACGGGUUAGUAAGCCACCUAAGAGGUAUGGCUUAGACAAUGACUUUGCGGAAUUGCACCUUCUAGGUGACAAUGACACGAAGGAGGACCCUAGGGACUACACUGAAGCAAUGUCCGACAUUGAUUCAAAGAGAUGGCAAGAGGCCAUGAAAUCCGAGAUGGAUUCCAUGUAUCAAAAUCAGGUCUGGACUCUUGUAGACCCUCCAGAAGGUAUUGUACCUGUUGGAAACAAAUGGGUCUUCAAGAGGAAGAUAGGCGUUGAUGGGAACGUGGAGACUUAUAAGGCUAGACUCGUAACCAAGGGUUACAGGCAAAGAGAAGGGAUUGACUAUGAAGAAACCUUUUCUCCUGUAGCCAUGAUUAAGUCCAUUCGGAUUUUGCUUGCUAUAGCUGCGUACCAUGAUUAUGAGAUAUGGCAAAUGGACGUGAAGACGGCCUUUCUGAACGGCUACCUAGAGGAAGAGCUCUAUAUGACUCAACCCGAAGGUUUCGUGUCCAAAUCUGAAAAGACUAAGGUAUGCAAGCUUCAAAGGUCCAUUUAUGGACUUAAGCAAGCCUCCAGGAGCUGGAACAUUCGUUUCGACACUGAAAUCAAAACGUUUGGUUUUACUCAAAACGAAGACGACAAUUGUGUUUAUGAAAAGGUCGUUGGGGAUGCAGUUGUAUUCCUAGUGUUAUAUGUAGAUGACAUAUUACUAUUCGGGAAUGACACUGCAGUACUUUCUUCUGUAAAAGUGUGGUUGUCCAAAACCUUCCACAUGAAAGAUUUAGGAGAUGCAUCUUAUGUACUUGGGAUAAAGCUCUAUCGUGAUAGAUCCAGAAGACUAAUUGGAUUAUCCCAAUCUAUGUACAUUGAUAAGGUGCUAAGUAGGUUCCAGAUGGAACAAUCUAAGAAAGGUUUUCUUCCUGUUAGACAUGGAAUUCACCUUUCUAAGUCCAUGGGACCUAAGACUCCUGAAGAGAUACGGCAAAUGAAUACUAUUCCUUAUGCUUCCGCCAUAGGAAGUCUCAUGUAUGCCAUGAUAUGCACAAGGCCUGAUAUCGCAUAUGCUGUGAGCAUUACUAGUCGAUAUCAAUCUAACCCAGGAUCAGAACACUGGGCAGCUGUCAAGACGGUCCUUAAGUACUUAAGAAGAACUAAGGACAUGUUCCUCGUUUAUGGAGGAGCGACAGAGUUGCGAGUGGAAGCCUAUAUAGACGCAGAUUUCCAAUCUGACGUCGAUGAUAGAAGUUCCAACUCCGGAUAUGUAUUCACUCUGAAUAGUGGGGCUGUUAGCUGGAAAAGCAAGAAACAAGGUGUAAUUGCUGAUUCCACGACGGAGGCAGAAUAUGUCGCUGCAGCUGAAGCCGGCAAAGCAGCGUUCUGGAUGAAGAAGUUCAUCACUGAACUUGGAGUGGUUCCAACCAUUACAUCACCAGUAACUUUGUAUUGUGAUAAUAGUGUGGCGAUAGCUCAAGUAAGGCACCCAGGGCUCAUCAAAAGAACAAGCAUUUUGACAGGCGCUUUAAUAUCAUUAGAAGAUAUGUUGCCGAGGGGAAAGUCAACAUCCUCAAAGUUGCCUCAACCGAUAACGUAGCAGAUCCACUGACGAAUCCAAUGUGUCAAAUCCAACUUGACCGCCAUAUGGAAAAGAUGGGUAUUAGAUACAUGGGAGGAUGGCUUUGAGUGCAAGUGGGAGAUUGUUGGAAGUAUGCCCACAAAGCCACUCAUUUGAUGUAAUAGCUUUUGGAAUACUUCUUGUAUUAAACUUUUAUAUGUUUAAUGAAGGGCAAAGCUUAUUGUUAAUCACUAUUUAUUGUAUCAUGUGUUUAAGCAAUAAGGGAAUCCAAGGAAUCUAUUUGAUCUAAGAGAUAAGUGAUUUAAGUGAGUUAGAUUAACGAGACCUUUCUCUUAUGUUCAUUCCUAAAACGUUCCUAGCCAUAGGAUUGCCAAUUGGCAUUGACAAUCCGCUAAGGUUAGUAUGUGUUAUGUUGACUCAAGCGCGAGUAUGACAAGUCUCAAGUCAUUUAGUGUUGGACACUAAGACAAACACAUAGGUGCUCGAAAGAGUAAUCGAGUACACUGAACAACGAUCAAAAGAGAGUUCAAACAUACAUGUCAUGUAAGAACUCAAUAGUUGCAAUAUGCAAAGUAGUCCUUUGACCUAAGGCAUCAUAGAUGUCUAAUGGUUAGGUCCUUGAUCUUUGAUCAUGUUAAAUGGCAUUCCAUUGGAGUGUCCACGGCAUUGUUGGGAUCAAGCUAUCUAGUCAUGUAGGCAUAUGAAUGCACAACAAGGGAUCUCUAACCUUCCAUGGUGGAAGGAGAAUACUCUAAGAUAUGAUUCGGGAGUCUUUGGCCAAAGCAUAUGAAUAUGACUUAGGAAAUUUGUUCCAAAUCAUAUUCAAUCGAAUCAUAUAGAGAAGUAUCACAUUGGAUAGUAGACAUGAAACAAACUAUCACUCAAACAAUGUGAUUAAGAGUAUUGUAUUAGAGAAUGACCGUAUUGCAUUGUAGUUGUAACUGGAUAGGUUCUCCAACCACUUAUACUUAGCUUGGGUAACCAUGAUAUGCUGCUAGGUGUCACUCAUGGUUUGUGGAAGCCUUGAAGAUUAGCCAACACUAAUCAAAGGGAGAAUUGAAAUGUUGUUUUAAUUCACAAUCGAUCGUUAAGAGUAACAAUCGCCCACUGCCUCGCUAAUUGGAACCUAAUGGAUCGUACACCGAGUAAGGGUGAAAGUGAAGAAAUAUAAAUGAGCUGGAUAAGCAAUUAAAUGGUUUAAUUGAGAAUGGUCAAGAUUAAUUAAUUAGUUAAUUAAUUUUACGAAAGGUUC